rnacentral:tRNA from 1 species
CGGGGCGUCGCAAGGCCUCGUCAGCCUGGUGAGAGCGCUUGGUUUGCGACCAGGACGUCGAAGGUUCGAAUCCUUUCGCCCCGA